rnacentral:rRNA from 1 species
UACGUAAAAAAACAAGCGUCGUCCGGAAUCAUUGGGCGUAAAGAGCGUGUAGGCGGCCAGAAAAGUCCGCUGUGAAAACUCGAGGCUCAACUUCGAGCUGUCGGUGGAAACUUUCUGGCUAGAGUCCGGAAGAGGAGAAUGGAAUUCCUGAUGUAGCGGUGAAAUGCACAGAUAUCAGGAAGAACACCCGUGGCGAAGGCGAUUCUCUGGGACGGUACUGACGCUGAGACGCGAAAGCGUGGGGAGCGAACAGG